CUCGAUCGAUGCGUUUAGCGAGGCGCAUUCGCUGUGUUUCCGCGUUCCGCCGCGCUCCGUCGUACAGUUACAUCGCCCGGACGGAACGUAGGCAGAUAUACAUGUACGAACGAUGAUCGUGACACGGGCGACGAACAAUGACGCGAUUAACUAUCGCUUCUAUUCUAACCCCACGGACUCUAGUCUCGCGGCUCGGACACGACCGCGCCGCUGAUGAACGACGUAGUUUUAAUUACUCUGACCCGCUCAUAUAGAGUGUAAUGCCUCGCGAUAAAUACACUGUCGUCGUUGACGAUGAAUCAGUUAUAUAGUCGCGAACUAUACGCCUACGCUAAAGAGAGCCAAGUUUCUAUUUUGCUACAUGUGGCUGGCACUACGCGACUCUCUCUCUCUUUAUUCUCCGCGAAUCAGUCGAGCUCCGUCGGAUGGAGAGACGCGGCGCACGCUUGUCGCCUUCUAUCUUAUGUUUCGUGUGCCUCUACAAUUUCCUCGGCGACGACCUGUGGAUACGUCUUGUUUUUCGAUACGCUAUUGCAUCUCGUUUAAUACGACAGAAUUGAUACGUAGAAGACACGCGAGUGAGGUUGCCUGCCGUGUCGUUUAUCCUUCGUUCGGCGAGCCUGAAAGCAAGUCAAGGAAUUCGUUCUGGAGGCUGUUAUUUUCGAAUGUACCGUGUACUUCAGCAUGGUACAGAGAAGAGUUUCUAAGGUCUUAUUUACGAUCUAAUAAAACAUAUCGUCGGAUCCCGAUUACGAGCUAUGUAUUACUUAAAAGUGUCCUUAUACAACGCGAAAACGUGUUUCCUCGGAAAUUAUGGCCCUUAAUAUUUACAUCAUAGUACCCGCCUUGUUUAAAACACAAAAGGCAGGAGAAUCUUAUGGAAAUCGUAUUCAAAUCGUAUCGCGGAACGAUAGAUAUCGUUAAGAAGCAACUUGAUAACUACUUCGUUUUAUUCAUUCCGUCCUCGCUCCUGUAAGCUCAGAAGCUCUCCGUUCUACAUUUUAAUGACGCAAAAAUUCAUCUUUUCCCACUGUAUUUCAUUGUACUGGUCUUCGAACGAGAAGUUGUUUGCGAGAACGCGAAUCCCGAGCAAACUCAAUAGAAUAAAGGGUACUCAGUGGUUGUUCACUGAACGAGAUAUAUAUAUAUAUAUGUAUUUAUAUAUACAUAUAUAUAUGUGUGUGUAUAACAAAGUUAUCGUAAUUUUAUGAAAGAAGAAAUAGGAAAAAAGGAGGAAAAGCUCGUUUUCAUCGAUAUUACCCGAGUUCGAAACUCAGAUUGUGAAUCUUUCUUUUCGAUACAAUAGAAUAUAGCCUCAACGGCUCUGUUACGUGAGAACACAUUCAAGUUUCGUGUCAUCUGUUUCGAAUUAAGUCCAUUGGUUGUUAUGCAAGUAUGUAUAUAUGCGUGCUGUGUAUCGAUUGCCAGUACAAAGCAAGGGAAUAUGCAUCAUUACGCAACUUCUUAUCGAACGAGUUGUUUAAUAGUGUCUAAAAAUGUUACUAUCGUUUCCAUUGCAUACGAUAGCAACAGUCUUCUUCCCCGUGACUCGUAUAUUCGUCAACAAUAAUAUCGGUCUUAUGAGCGAUUAUUCGUCGCUUACGAGUUAUUUCUCCUACACGUCUAUGUAACCGGAAAAUCGUUCCUUAUGUCAUAAAAUGUAUAACGUUGAACGAACUGGUUUAUUACCUUGGAACUAUCUACAACGUUGAAAUCGAGCAAUUGUAUGUAUAUACGAGCGUAAGUUUGGAAUUUCAAAUGACCAAGUUCUAACCUAACAACUGACCGACAUUUUCCGCGAUACCUACUUGUCUUUCCCCAUUGAUAUUUGCCGAAUAAACCGUGUUUACCUUUAUGAAAAGCAGUAUCUUCCUUAUAUCGUUCGACCGAUAAUAUCACCGUAUAAAAAUGAACUAUAGUCUGUAUACAUAUUUAAAGAUACAUAUCUUACGAUUAUACGUUAAAUUUUAUUUUCAAUCGAAUUUCAAUAUCCCUUAAUUAGUCACGAUUGAUUAAUUUAAUUUGCUUUCAAAUUCUACUAGUAUUCUACAGGCCUGGACAAGUUUCGUCACAUAAAAAUUGAGAAUAACAACUUGAGAUAAUGGAUCACACUUUACCUCCUAAUUCAAUAAUUUAUAUUUUGUAAUACCGUAUUUAUAACUAAUUUACUACUAACUUAAAUGUAAAAAAGUGAGAAAUAUCGAGUAUAAUAUUGAAUAACUUGACAUGACACACGAGUUGCAAAUAUCCAGACAAAAACAAAGAAUUGUAAACUAUUAUAAUUUCCUCUUUCACAACCAAAAUCGAAUUAUCAAACUUACCAAGUAUCGAGCAUCUAGCUCACGAUGAAGAAAAAAAUACUAGCAAGCCUAUUUACGAAAUCCUAGACUAUCAAAAAAUACCACAAGAUCCUACGAUAUAAAACCUACCAUUACACGAAAACGAGCUAGUCGCGCCUCUAGCGAAAGUGUUAAUAUUGAUAGAGCUACGAGGAAUAACAGACAAACAGCGAGAUAGUUUUAGGCAGCGUGUACCUAAGCGUGUAUAACGGCAGGGACCUUUUGGGAUACGAAGAACAAGAACAAGAACAAGAAGAAGUAGGUAUCUCAGGUAGACGGGCCUCGAGAUAGGUUCAGUAGAAACUGGAAGAAGCUGGACGCAAAAGGUUUCCUUUAAAGAAAACAAAAUGAGAGAGAAAGGGAAAGAAAACACGAGGAAAAAAAGAGAAGAAAAAAAGAGCAGCAGGUGUCGGCACAAUUCAAGCCUUCAAAGGGAGAGAGAGAGCUCUUAAAUUUUUUAACUCAAACAUAACGACGGAUGAUACACACCAUCCCUUUCUUCUUCGCUCAUUUUGCGUGAGAAGAUUUUGUGUAUUUCCGUGCACGCGAACGGGGACACGAUGCUAUUCGAAGGAUUACACAGGAAUAUGUUUAUGUCGAAUAUCAAAUGACUAAUAUAUGCUCGCGAAUGCAUCUCCAAUGCAAAAGGACAGCCAAGCAAUAACGAUGUUAUUUCUAGUUAAACUGGGAAAGUCUACACCAAAUUAUAAAUUUCUACUGUGGCUUCAUCGUUAUGAACAGUUUUUAAUAUUAUAUAAAAUACAUUCUAGAAUAUUCUGUAAAUAACAAACCAGGAAAAUCUCUGUCUUUAGACAGUUUAGUCUAUUGCAUCCUAUACAAUAAGAUAGAUGCUCAACGUGACGCAAUAAAAAUAUUAUUUCA